GUUUCUGUUGAAAAAUAUUUCAUUAGACUCUUAUUUGUUUCAGGUUAUAAAAUCAUACAAGAGAGAGAUCUUGCGCUCAACAGAUUCACUACUCAAAACUGUGACUAAUAACUCGCAAAUUCUCUGACAUGAGAGAGUGAUCUUGCGCUCAACAGAUUCACUACUCAAAAAAUCAUUUUCUCACCUCACUACUCAUAAGCAAUUGUGCUCUCGUGAAGGAACCUUACCUGCAUCUAGAAAAUCAUAGCCGAGGUGCUAGCUGAGCUUCAUUUCGUCAAAUCAACACAUAAAAAAUGGCGAGAAUACAAAGUUAUCGUUGUGAACUAACUGAACUAUUGGAGACGCAUCACCAAUUAUUGGACCAGUUAGCAGAAAAAGGAUGGACAAAUCUACAAUAUUUAACAUUUGUGAGAGAUUAUGAAAAAUUAGGAGUUUGGCAUAGUGAUAACUAUAAUCAUAUUUUAGUUUGUGAAUUAUACGGUACAUCAUAUGAUAAAUUCUGGGAAAAUGGCAAUAUCCCAGGCUCAUACAGAUGUGAUUGUGGUCAUCUUAAAGAGUCUAUCGAUAAAAUUAAGAAGGUUAUAACAGAAAAAAAUAAACAUUUAACAAAAGAACAAUUAAAUAAACUUAUCUGGAAUUUUUUACGAGAUUCUUCAGAUGAGACAGGCUUAGAACAAGAUUGAUAGCAUAUU
rnacentral:lncRNA from 1 species